UACGUAGGGUGCGAGCGUUAAUCGGAAUUACUGGGCGUAAAGCGUGCGCAGGCGGUUUUGUAAGCCAGAUGUGAAAUCCCCAGGCUCAACCUGGGAAUGGCAUUUGGGACUGCAAGGCUGGAGUUUGGCAGAGGAGACUGGAAUUCCUGGUGUAGCAGUGAAAUGCGUAGAUAUCAGGAGGAACACCGAUGGCGAAGGCAGGUCUCUGGGCUGAAACUGACGCUCAUGCACGAAAGCGUGGGGAGCAAACAGG
rnacentral:rRNA from 1 species